UUAAUAGGCAGGUAGUUAUAAUGGCUCAUUUCUCUUCAAAGGCAAUGAAAAUAUAGUCAUCACAAUGAAGACAGUAUAAAGAUGUGAAAUAAUUUUACCUCCUGCUCUGUUGUCCAUUUAUUUCAAGAAAGUCAUAGAAAUAACAUAAAAAGUGUUAGCUUUGUAUCACAAAUAUGUGCUAUGUUAAUAUAUUGAUUUUAUUCCAGAGUGCCUAAAUCUUGACUUGCACAGGCUACACCAAUUCACACAAAUGUAAAGCUCACUUCCCACAGCUGUCAGCAAAAAUUGGAUAUGCCUUAUCUGAGGUAAUAUAGGUCAGGACCAAUCUAAGCAGGCAGCAGUGGACAGCAGUGGAUAGGCCAAGGGCUGAGCAGGAUUGAUCAGCACCACAGAGAGGGCAUCACUGGGAUUGUCCCUGGAGACCUAGAUUCUCACUGCCAGAGGUGAAGCAAGAGACAGACGAGGAGAUGUGUGACUGCGAUCAGCAACCACCUCAAACACAGCAAUCUCUUGUCCAAGCCAUCAGCCUGCUUUGCAUGAGCUUCAUGUUAGUGUCAUACCCAGCACAAAUUUGUUCUUCAGACCUAGAUAUUCCUCCCUGUGCUGCUGCAUAGAAAUUUUUCCAGGACUUAUUUCCUUCCCAAAGUAUUAAAACCAUAGCAAACUGGUAAUGUUUUCAUUGUCUGUAAUAUUAGUAGAAGCAACAUUAGCUAUGUUAGCAGUAUUAAGUAGCUCAAGUUAGUAUCUCCUAAUUCCAGAGCCCUCACAGUAAACGUGGGAACAGGAAACAUCUCAGUCCUGUGAGAUUACUCCAGCUUUCAGAGUGCAGUAUGUAGCCAUUUCAGAUUUCAGACAGCUGAAAGAGAAAUGUUAAUGCAACUUUGAUGCUCCUCUGAAACUUGUUUUUGAAGGUCUUCCAUUUCUUUUGCAAGAAAACUCAAUAGGUUUAUUUCUAUGUAAACAUCCAUACUUUAACGGAUGAGCUCUCCUGAGCUGCCUUUGACAACUGUCUCCAGAAACAGAACACUAAACUCUUGCAGUUACAAAUCUAAGUGGAAGUCAUUGUAGAAGAUCAACUUUUGUGAUAUUUUUACUGUGCAACUUUAACCUUGCAACACAAGUUGCACAGAUAGAAUUCAUUUCAGCAGUAUUGUUUUGGAUGUUUAUGAGAGCACACUUGAUCCCACAAUAGAUUAUGAUAGACACCAAAAAAGCUAAAUCAUGUUAGCUUAAGAAGGAGACAGUUUGUACCUUACAGUACAAAUCACAAGGUCAGACUGAAUUAUCACUUGGAUUCCAAAACUUCUCAAGCAUAUUUUUUCUAAAACAGCCUGCUACAGAAGACGACUUUUUUUUUCUCAUGUGGAAGCCAUGCUUUACAUUUCUCAGUGCUUUCUUGUGAGAUUCUACCUCUUGGAAAGACAGAACAGUCUUCUGAAGAAACUCUAAAGUGGGAGGGAUGUCAUUUUUAAAAAAUAUUUAUAAUGUAAUACUAUUAAUUAUAUUUAAUAUUUUUACUAAAUAAUAACCUUUUAAUAAUUUUUAAAUAAAAUAUUAUCAAGUAAGAUCAUCUCUGGUCAGAGCAGUUUCUGAUACAUGUGAACAGAGAAAUUGGUGAUGAAAAAUUACAAGAUCUUUUUGAGAGUAUGGAUGCUUCUUACUUCUUUCAACUCCUUUUCACCUCUUUCACAAAACUUAUUUUACACUGCUUUUUCUUAAUUCGUGAUCACUCCUACCUCCCCAAAUGUGGUUUUCUUUUCUUUCUUUUGCUCUUCCUUUGAGUUUAAUCCUUUUUUUCUCUGAUACAAAAGCAGAGUGCCAAAAAACAUUUACAAAUGUACCUCUUUGCUUUUCUGACAGGGAUUUAAGGAGAAAUCCUCUGGACUACACUGACACUCAGUGUGAACAUCCACCUCUUUUUUCUUUUUUUUUCUUUCUGUUCUCUCCUGUGUAACCGUUCUCUGUUACAUGUUCCACUGCCCAUCUCUAAUGUAUUGAUCUCAUGGGAAAGAUGCCACCUGAGAAAAUACCCUGAUUAAUUUCUGCUCCUUGCUGAACUGUAUUUUAUCCAGGGAGCUGAAAUUUCACCUUUUAGCAGAAAAGCACUCUGUGUACUAGAGGUUUAACUAACUCAGGCAGUGAUGGGUCUAUACUGCAUCUCCUGGGAGGCAAUUUCACAAACCACAAGACUUCACACAGGAAAAAAAAGCAUAAAAUGCUCCCUCCAAGGCAACCUUUCACCCUGGCAUAUCGUCACUGCCUUACAGAAUUCCCAAGAAGCUGAACUCAUACCUUACUUAAGUAGGUGAAAAUCUGAUGGCAGAGGAGAUGCAAUCAGCUCCACAACAUUUAUACCAUUUUAGUUCUGAGAUGCACUCCUGUAAUUGAUAUGCACUGAAGAUAAUGUAUGGGUUACAGCGAGGAAAGGACAAUCCUGCUUAGACUUUUUGUUCAGUUUUGGAAAGGAUGUUUUUAAAACCAGAAGAGAAAAACAGAACAAGCCUUAACAUUUGUAGUUGUAAACUGAAACACUCAACAAACAGGCAAGAAUGUUUAGUCCACAAGAAAGAAGAGAUUAAGAAGGAUCCUUUCCUGAAGGGGUGGAUCUUUGAUUCUUGCUUCCUAACCAGGAAUACUACAGAGAUACUUACAGAUAUGAGGAUAUUAAUGAAGUGGAAAAUGAUGUGAGGAAAAAUGAGAGGAAUCUGAAAGGCAGCCAAAUAACACUGCCUACAUAUAUCCCCCAUAAGUACUGAACAUCUGCAGGAGACACAUAUGUAAACGGCUUAGAGCCCUGGAAUAGUUAGCAAGUUCUCCGUCUCAGUGCAGUGUAUAGAAUGGAUAAAUAAAUAGUGGGCAUAUGUGGUAUAUAUUCAGAUGGUGCAUUAGACUUUAAAAUCUCUGUCUAACUGAAUGCAUUAGCCUGUAUUUUCUGUUUAUGUCUCUGGGAUGCCAUGGAAACACAGCACUGAAUCCUAAUGGGUCUCUCCUGGCAAUAAAUAAACAGUCUUUGUCUAUUUAUGUUUCAA